AGUAUACGUUCAUCCCAACCAAACCUCCGUGCUUCUGUUUCCCAAUUUCUCCAACAUCCUCUUUACCUCAAACUCCUAAACCUAACUUCCGUGCUUCUGAUUCCCAACUUCUCCAACAUCCUUUUACCUUAAACUCCUGAACCUGUCAACAUUUCCCUUCUUCCUCCAAAUUCUACAGACAUUGCGUUUUUCUUCUUCCUCCAAAUUCUACGAGGUGUGAUUUUGUCUUCGUCGACUCAUCUUGCAUUGCAUCUUCAGUUAUGCAUUUCAGGGAUUUCAAGGCAUAUAAUUCUCCUCAGCUUUGUUCCUGGAGUCUUGUUCUUGCAAUUAUCUUAACAGUAGCUGAAACAAUUAUCAAGGAAAAUUAACGAGAAAACCAGAGUCAUGGACAAAAGUUGGAUGUGUCAACCAAGAUCUUCUGGCAGGUAUUUAGAUGGUUUAAACAAGUUUCUCGACUUUGCAUUUAGUAAUGCAGCACAAGGUGAUCAAAUUUUAUGUCCGUGCAAGAAUUGUAAUAAUUGUUGUUGGAGUAACCGAGCAGAAGUGUAUGAACACUUAAUUUGUGAUGGAUUUGAUAAAAGAUAUGAUAAAUGGAUUUUUCAUGGGGAAGGUGGAUCUUCAAAAGUGGAUAAAGGAAAGGCUAAUAUGCAUGAUAAUUUGGAUGAACUUUUAGAGGAUACUUUCAUGAUGCCUGAGUGUGAUUUUGAUGACAUAUUGGAUGAAGACGAAGAGUUUGAUGUAGAAAUGGUGAGGAUUUACAAUUUAGUACGUGAUGCUCGUCAAGAAGCAUACCCGGGUUGUAAAAAAUUCUCAAAACUAUCAAUCAUUGUUCGUUUACUCCAUAUUAAGAACCUUUAUGGGUGGAGCGAUGUAUCAUUUAGUGCGUUACUACUAUUGCUCAAAGAAUUGCUUCCUGAAAACUCUUCUUUGCCAGUAACAUUUUAAGAUUGCAAAUACAUAAUCAAAGAGUUAGGUUGUAGUUAUGAAAAAAUCCAUGCUUGUCCUAAUGACUGUAUCCUAUUUUGGAAAGAGCAUGAGAAUGAAGAUAAAUGCCCCAAGUGUGGUGCUUCAAGAACCUUUUGUUUUUUUUAUUUUUUUUUCUACUUUUCAGGUCAUUUAAAGGUAAAUAGUUUGCAUGAUCAUGAUCUUGCAUGUGGCAGGCAGCUCUACCUCAGGGAAUUGUUCCUUUUGUUUUUGCCAAAGAAUAUAAUGUUCAUCCAGCUGUUUUAAGCACAGGCAAGCAUCUUCUGGACCAGGAAGAUGUGGAUAUGGUGAAUACACUUGACAAGGAAAAAGGUAUCACACUGGAGGAUUUUAAGCUCAUUAAGAUGCAUAUGGCCAGUUAUAUUUUGAAAUUGGCACAAGUAAAAGUGAGACAGAGGUGUGAACUGUAUUUCUUGAAUAGGCACAAGUCAUCUCUUUUAUGUUUAUAAUUUAUAGGACAGAAAAGUUCUUUAGCAAAAGGUAAUUGCAAAUAACUUAUUCUGUCAUGAUGAUAACCUUUGUGCUUCACCUUAAGGACUUUCAAUGUACAAAAAUGAACUCUUGCAUGCAACAUGAAUUUUCUUAUGAGCCUAAAUUUAGGGUAUGCAGUUAAAUUUACAGUCUUUUUUAGUUUAAUUGACAGAGCUAAAGGGGUUAAAACUGCAAAUGGGUAUAUUUACCUUACGACAAAUCAAAUAACUUCAACAAAGCCAACAAAAUUGGAGAAGGAGGGUUUGGUCCUAUGUACAAGGGAAAUUUAUCAGAUGGGAAAAUAAUAGCAAUGAAGCAACUUUCUUCCAAAUCAAGGCAGGGGAAUGUUUUGUAUGCAUGAUAUGAUUACACCAUGAAGCAAUAAACCAGAGAGGUUAUUAAAUUGCAGACCUUGUUGAAUCAGAUUUAGCCAAGUAUAGUUAAUGAUUAAAAAGCAAUUGAGGAUGCAAAAACCAGAGAGGUCUACUCAGUGCUUACAUUAUUAAAACGCUUUAUAUUGGCAGGUGGAUAGGUUAAAGAUGAAAGCUUAGGCAUGUAGAGAAUAUUUAUAGAGCAUUGGAGAGGGCUUUCAACACGCCAUUGGGAGCUUUGCCUCGUUUUCCUCCAUAUCUCCCUCUAUACGAUAGUAUAUCACUACAAAAGGGAGACAUUUGAUGCAGAUUGCAAGUGGUUGGUGUUUGAAAAGGUUGGAACAAUGAAAGUAAACAAACUUGAAAGGAUAAUUUGUUCAGGAUUUAAAAUGACCUUAAUAAAGUUAGUUGGCCAUCUGUUUUUCUUAAA